GCCCGGUUAGCUCAGUCAGUAGAGCAUCAGACUUUUUAUCUGAGGGUCAAGGGUUCAAGUCCCUUAUUGGGUG
rnacentral:tRNA from 1 species